ACACUACUAGGUAAUAGUCUAUCUAUAUCACUUUGUUUUUUUUUUUUUUUGGAUAAAUUAUGAUUUAGUCUCUGAGUUAGUCCUGAUAUUCUUAAAAAUACAUGAUUUAGUCCUUAAGUUUUGCUUCUGUCUUGUAAUAUGGUCUCUCCAUCUAUCUCACUUAGCAUAUUUCAGUAUAUUCCACCAGUCAAACAAGUAAAAGGGGAGAGAAAUUCUUUUAUUCCUAUUAUACCCCCUUCCUCUCUCUAUCUCUCUCUCAGAAUUUCUGCGGGAGAUCUCAAAGUGUUCCUCUAAUUAGGUAUUCUGUCGCAAUUUAUCCAUCGGUGAAAUUCCAGCCCUUGAUUUUGUUAAUGUUAACAAGGGAUAAUUUGAGUUAUGGGACAGAGGAACAUGCUAUGCGCUAGUCAGAUUGAUCUAGAAAUGGAUAGGCAAGGCCAGGGAUAUCUACAUCCUGAGCCUUGCAUUCUCUUGGGGGGCAUAACCAACUUCCCACAGCCUGAUAUUCAG
rnacentral:misc_RNA from 1 species